AGAGUUUGAUCCUGGCUCAGAGCGAACGCUGGCGGCAUGCUUAACACAUGCAAGUCUCACGGGCAGCAAUGUCAGUGGCGGACGGGUGAGUAACGCGUAGGAAUCUGUCCUUAGGUGGGGGAUAACUGUGGGAAACUACAGCUAAUACCGCAUGAAACCUGUGGGUCAAAGGCGCAAGUCGCCUGAGGAGGAGCCUGCGUACGAUUAGCUAGUUGGUGGGGUAAGAGCCUACCAAGGCUACGAUCGUUAGCUGGUCUGAGAGGAUGAUCAGCCACAUUGGGACUGAGACACGGCCCAAACUCCUACGGGAGGCAGCAGUGGGGAAUAUUGGACAAUGGGCGAAAGCCUGAUCCAGCAAUGCCGCGUGUGUGAAGAAGGUCUUCAGAUUGUAAAGCACUUUCGACGGGGACGAUGAUGACGGUACCCGUAGAAGAAGCCCCGGCUAACUUCGUGCCAGCAGCCGCGGUAAUACGAAGGGGGCUAGCGUUGCUCGGAAUGACUGGGCGUAAAGGGCGCGUAGGCGGAUUGUACAGUCAGAUGUGAAAUUCCCGGGCUUAACCUGGGGGCUGCAUUUGAUACGUAUGGUCUUGAGUGAGGAAGAGGGUUGUGGAAUUCCCAGUGUAGAGGUGAAAUUCGUAGAUAUUGGGAAGAACACCGGUGGCGAAGGCGGCAACCUGGUCCUUUACUGACGCUGAGGCGCGAAAGCGUGGGGAGCAAACAGGAUUAGAUACCCUAGUAGUCC
rnacentral:rRNA from 1 species